GAUGAACGCUGGCGGCGUGCCUAAUACAUGCAAGUCGAGCGAACAGACGAGGAGCUUGCUCCUCUGACGUUAGCGGCGGACGGGUGAGUAACACGUGGAUAACCUACCUAUAAAACUAGGAUAACUUCGGGAAACCGGAGCUAAUACCGGAUAAUAUAUUGAACCGCAUGGUUCAAUAGUGAAAGACGGUUUUGCUGUCACUUAUAGAUGGAUCCGCGCCGCAUUAGCUAGUUGGUAAGGUAACGGCUUACCAAGGCAACGAUGCGUAGCCGACCUGAGAGGGUGAUCGGCCACACUGGAACUGAGACACGGUCCAGACUCCUACGGGAGGCAGCAGUAGGGAAUCUUCCGCAAUGGGCGAAAGCCUGACGGAGCAACGCCGCGUGAGUGAUGAAGGUCUUCGGAUCGUAAAACUCUGUUAUUAGGGAAGAACAAAUGUGUAAGUAACUAUGCACGUCUUGACGGUACCUAAUCAGAAAGCCACGGCUAACUACGUG
rnacentral:rRNA from 1 species